CUCCGGGCCCCGCGCCCGCCGCACUCCUCGUUCCCACUCAUUUUCUAAUGAAAAAGCCCUGGCUUCUUUGAAAAUCCAAAGGGCGCCGGACGCUAGUGGAGAAGAGCCCCAACAAGACGGCGAAUGCAGAAAGUAAAAGGCCGGCGUCCCUCCAACCCGUCCUUCGCAAAUCUCUCCAGAGAGAUCCAGCCUUUACAGAUCGGAAGCUUCUUGUACAUGGCAGGGCUACAUACCUGGUUCUGGCUGGUGAAAUAUGAGCAAAGGUGACAUGUGACACUUUGGGGCUGAGCCAGUGACAAACCCAAGCGUGGUUCUCUGCGUUCUCUUCCCUUGCUUUGGUGAUCGUGGGAGCAUGAGGCAUCACGGGACGAAGGCAAGCCUAUUGCUGAGCCACACGUGGAGGACAACUGUCUCCAACACUCACCCAGAUACACAGCUGAGUUCAGCCAGCCAGUUGAAGAAGGAUCUAGUUUCUUUGGAGACUUGUUUGGUUUGAGUGUUCUUCCUCCACCUCUGUCUGCUGAAAAUCAACACAUCCUGAAGUUGGAGAUGUGGGAAGACCCUGAACUCACCUCCUGCCGUGGACACACCAAAUCCAUAGCUACAUCUAGAACAGUUGUCUCUGAAAAAGACCUGAAAGCUGUGUAGCUCCUCCACAGCAACGGAUAAAAAGGCCACACUGAGAUGGAUAGAAAAGACAGAGAUAUGGUCUUGCUAAAGACCCCACUCCCAGUGCAGUGACCCAGAAGCACGAGGGUGCCCACCCAUAUGCACAAAUAUGGUGCAUAUCCCUGAGAAGAGAAUUUGACCCCCACACUAGGCACCCCAACCCUUUGCUGAACAUCCGGCUUUGAAAACCAAUGAGACUUAUAUCCAGGAGACCCAAGAGGUUGUAGGAAACUGAGACUCUGCUCCUGAAGGACUCAGACACAGACCCACUUGUCCUGGGACCCCGUACAAAAGUAGCAGGUUGGAAAAUGCCCAGACCAUAUGUGAAGGAGAUUCAUUGGCUAAGCUUAAAGUAUCUGCCAGAGGGCCAGGGGUCUGUUGGAACUCUCUCUGGGGAAGGAGGCUCUGGUGGGUUCCAUUUUUGCACUCUCUCUUCUACUUUGCUAGUGGACACCAUUUUUGCACUCUACCUUUAUCUUGCUAGUGCCAUGUCCCCUGGCCCAGUCUGUCCUGUGGUCCCACCCUUCCAAACCUGGUGGGCUGGCUCACCCUGACCCAGUACACCCCCGUGUGAGGCUGCUCCACCAACCUGGUUGCCAGACGUGGCCCCACCACUGCUGACAAGUGCAUGCAGUCCACACAGGGGAUGUCCCUUGAAUGCUUGGCUCUGAUGGCCAAGUGGGCUUGCAUUUCUGGGCCCCAUGGGACUGAAGCAACUGGAGAGACAGUUUUGGGCAAGGGAGCACCACAGGGCACUGAACAGACAGCAGACUGAAACAUAUUCCCAGUCUUCCUGUGAUCACUCCUUUAAGACUGGGAGAGACAGCCAUUUCACCUAAUGCAUAGAAACAGACACAGAGAGUCAAGCAAAAUGAGGAAACAGGAAGAUGUUCCAAAUGAAAGAAUAAGAUAAAACUCCAGAAAAAACCUUAAUGAAAUGGAGAUAAGUAAUUUACAUGGUAAAGAGUUCAGGGUAAUGGUCAUAGAGACGCUCAUUGAUCUUGGGAGAAUGAACACAGAGAGAACUUCAACAAAGAGACGGAAAAUAGAAGAAAGUAGGAAACAUAAAUCUCAGAGCUGAGGAAUACAAUAACUGAAAUGAAAAAUACACUGGUGGGAUGCAACAGCAGACUAGAUGAAACAGAAUAUGGGAUCAGUGACUGGAAGGCAGGGCAGUGGAACUCACCCAAAACGGAGCAAUAAAAAAAAAAAAGAAUUAAGAAAAGUGAAGCUAGCUUAAGGGACAUAUAAACAACAUCAAAUGAAACAACAUUUGCAUAAUAGGGGCCCAGAAGGAGAAGAGACAGAAAGAGACAGGACACUUAUUUGAAGAAAUGAUGUCUGCAAACUUCCUUAACCUGGGGAAGAAAACAAGACAUCCAGAUCC